ACCCUCUCUUCCCUCAAACAAAAGCCUAAGUUGACAGAAGGGUAAAUUAUUAUAAGUGCCCCCUUUCCUUUGCCUUAGAUUUUUAAAAAUCCAAAUACCAGUAUAUAUAUUCCCCCUUCUCUCUGCUUCCUAUAUAUAAAUCAAACUUCCUUCACCUUUAGUCAAUUCUAAAACCAAGUCAUUUUUGCCCCUAAGAAAUAUUUACAAAUUACCUUGUGAAUUAGUUCUAGCCCAUCACUUAAGUUUCAAAACAGACCCAAUUAAGUACCCCGUAUUUCAUAUUAAUAUGGCAUUUAGAUACCACACUAACUAUAGUUGGGAAUAAUACAGUUCUUAAAAGUCAUAAUUAUUUACUUUAUUUUCUUGUUUAAAAAUAGCAUAGAUGGCACUCUAAUUCGCAUUAACCUGUUUGAACACAAUUAGGUAGGACAUUUUAUCACUAUACAAUAGAAGAAAACCUGCUCAUUUAGACCAUUUAAGGCUUACAUAAACUAGUAAAAAUAUUGUUUAUCUUUCAAUGCAUACUAGAAUGCAAAGUCUCCUUAUAAAAUUCAAUAGUUAAUAUAUUAAGUGGAAGCCCAAAUGCUGACUACAGUAGGUAAGAUUUAAGUUGGCCAUACCAGCUGAAGUGUCCGGAUAACUUACUAAAUUCUCAGUUUUUGUCUAAAUGCAAUCUUUACCACCAAAGUUCCACCUAGACAUGUAAAAUAACGGUUUCCAUCAUUGUGGACUCUAAAUUGAGACUUGACUGUACUAAUAUUGAACAGAGCAUACAUUUUUAGAAGCAUGCAAAUUUCUACUCCUCUAUAUCCAGAGAUUAAGAUUUAAUUCAACAAAGCUAAUGGACUCCUAACACUUCCAUAGAACACAGAAACGGGAGUGGAAUGUCUAUACAUUCCACACACUUCACUAACAAAUUACAGGAAAAUUGCUUAUUUCAUGGCAACUGGAUUAUAUAAUAAACAACAAGAAAAGGCCACUUAUUAUGAUGAGUGUAGUCUUUAUUGAAAGACUUAACUUCAACUGUGGUUUACAGCUUUGGCUUAAGUUGGCCAGUCGUUUUAGCCUGUUACUGCCAGCAGACAUAAAAACCAAGUGGGAAUGCCAUGGGGGAAAUAACUAGUAGGGAUUAGAGCAAAGAUGGCAGUCAAAAACACAUCACCAAAACCAACCUCAAAA